CGGCAACAGCUCAAAUUUGAAAUCUGGCCUCUUUGGGGUCCGAGUUGUAAUUUGUAGAGGAUGUUUCGGGUACCGCCUCGGUUUAAAUUUCUUGGAACAGAAUGUCAAAGAGGGUGAGAAUCCCGUCUUGG
rnacentral:rRNA from 1 species